UUCAUGCACUGCAUCCUGGCCUUCUCUCAGGAUAACAGGGUGAGCAACUGCAUGUGUAGACAGGGUCUGGCCAGCUGAAACAGCACUACCAGCAAUGCCAUCAGCAACAUAAAGUAAGAAAUCAGUGUACUCAGGUCCCCGCCCCAUUUCAGAACAAAUGCACUCAAAUACAAAAUGGCUUCAAGCAGCCUGUGACACCUCCCUGCAUCUCACACCUCCCUGCCUCAGCCCUUGGGCUGCUCUGCACCCAGCUGUCAGCUCCUGGACCCGUUCACAGAGGUGCAGAGAGAAGCUUUGCUAUCCAUCGAGUUCAAAGUGGGUCAGCAAAGGAACAAGAGGUGAAGUGAGAUCAGAAGCCAGCCAGGACAGGUGGCUGCUCUACCAUUUCGUCACGUGGAUCACCACCUCCUCCCAGCCCAGGGAGCGCUCAGUGCCGAGGCCGAUGUGCCGAGGUCCAUCUUCUGUCAGCAGUGCCAGAGUCUGCUGGGCGGACGUCCUCCUCCGCUUCUUCCCUGCAGCUUUCUCAUGCAGUUGCCAGCAUCCUCUAGGUUUCCAGGAGGAUUAGCUCCCCCCAUUUUCCACCAGAACUUAACAAAAGUUACCCUGUGGCAAAUGACCUGCACGCUCCAUCCUGGAGUGCGGAUGAAAGCAAGGCUAGAGCAUGUGCUGUCUUGCUUGGGGCUGUAUUUACUGCUGAUUGACCUCUGUGACAGGCUGCCUAGCUCAGCAGAAGCCUGGACAGUAAUACUAGGCCAACACUUUUUUUUUUUUUUUUUUUUUUUUGCUUUUUUUCCAGGGCAAAACAAAGGAAAAUGAACCUUCCUCCUGAAAUCAAGUAAUCUUCCCCGCCCUUCCUUUCCCUAAGUUGGAAAGAGAAAUUUCUGGCUCCACUCAUUUUCAUAAUUUUUGAGUUCUUUUUAUUUCUUUUGAAUAAUUUCUUAGUAACACCCCAAAAUUCAGUUUAGGUCAUAGCUGUGUACAGGUUGGGAAGGAGCAGGAGCCACCGGGCUGGU